AAUUCUGUCAUUCACAGCAACAUAGGUGGCACUGGCCAUUUGGUUUAACGUAAUGAACAUAGGCCAUUAUGUUAAGUGGAAUGAGCCAAGCACAGAAAGGCAAAUACCACAUGUUGUCACUCAUAUGUGGGCAGUAAAAAAGUGGAUCUCAUGAAGAUAGAAAGUAAAUUGGUGGUUGCUAGAGGCCAGCAAGGGGAGUGGGAAGAGGAGAUUAAGAGAAGAAAAUAUAAAUGUAUUUAUCACCACUAAACUGUCCUCUAAAAAUGUACAGAUGGUAAAUUAUAUAUAUAUAUUUUUUAACUCAAUAAAAAGUUAAAAAAAUUCUGCUGUGUGUUUAUAGGGCACAUGUACAAGACUUUCUCUAGGGUUGUAUCAGUUUUCUAUUCCUGCUGUAACAAUUUACCACAAAUUCAGUGGCUUAAAAGAACACAUUUUUGUAAGAUUUGAGUCAGUUUUAAAAAACACACACAGACUUAUUGUCUUAGAAUUGUUUUGGUUGGAAAUCUGGCAUGGCUCUCACUGAACUAACAUCAAGAUGUUGGCAGGCUGCAUUUCUUUCUGAAGGCUCUAAAAGAGCAUCUGGGUUGUUGGCAGAAUUCAGUUCCUUGUGGUUGUAGAUCUUCAGUUUCUUCCUGGUUGUAAACUUUGGGUCAUUCCCAGCUUCUAAAGGUCACUGGCUUUUCUUGGCUUGUGGCCCCCUACCACUGUUUUAAAAGCCAGUAAUAGCAGGCCACAUCUUUCUCAUACUGCCAUCUGUCUGAAUCUCAGCAUCCAGAAAAUAUUCUCUGCUCUCAAGGAAUUAUGAGAUUAGACUGGCUCACCAAGGUAAUUCAAGAUAAACACAAUCUGGGAAACAUUUUAUAAUACAGAGGGCCACACCAGAUUGAAUAUUGCCCCCAGGAAUGAAAUGAAAACAGGAAUGGAUUCUCCAGUAAGAGGGUAUCACAGGGCGUCAAACUGGAAAAUGUGGCACUGCCUGGAGUUUCUACCUGGUGAAGGGUGGCAGACUUUUCUCUUCAGAGGACUCUUGACAGGGUAGCAUCCAUUAUCUUGCCAAUUUACUACAACCUAGGCCCAAUCCUCAGUCUUAUAGGUUCAGAAAUUUAUUUUUAUCAGCAUCAACAGGGUAGCUACAUUGCUUAGAAGCAAACAAAAUUAACCAUGCUUCAAUAGAAAUCAGGAUAUAGAUGUAUUAAUACAGAAUGACAAAUAUAACUGUGACAGAAAUAGGAAUGCCUGUUUAUGGUCAUAUACGGCCAAUACUUUCAUUACAGCCAAACUCAUACAUGCAGCCAAAUAAGAGGCCCCUGGAUACACAGGGAAUCAGAAUAAAAAAAGAAGAACUGAACAUUUAAUAGUCUUCUUUCAUUCAAUCAAUAAUUUUUUUUAAUUAAGCAACUACUAUGUCCGGGUAACCUUCUAGGUCCUGGGGAUACAGAGGUCUCUGCUUACAGAAGUCAUAUGUAAGUAGCAGGUGAAGAGUAUGUGUUUCACAGAAGUUUAUUACAAUAUAUUAACAAGAGCAAAAAAUUUUGGAAGCAAUCUAAAUGUUCAAUAAUAGAGCUCCAAUUAAAUAACAAUAAAUCCAAAUAAUGAAAAAUAAUGCAGCCCUUUAAGAAUAAGCACUUGCAAGCCGUAAUUCAUGACAUGGGAAAAUUAUCAUAAUGGAAAAAGAAGCAAGCUAUAUAUAGUGCAUGAUCCUAUACACACACAUACAUACAUACAUAUUUCCUAUCCCUUUAUAUGCAUAAGAAAACAAGCGGGAGGAAAGUCAUAUCUUUAGUCAAGUCUUGUUUACUAACGUACUAUUAAUGAUUAUCUUUUCUUUUUCUUUAUACUUUUUGCAUUUUUCAAUUUCCUAAAAUAGCCUUACAUGCCUUUUAUCACCAGGAGAAAAAUUACUUCUAAAGUAAUUUCAGUCAACAUGCAUACUAAGAACUCUUCAGAUUUAUCUGUUAGAAGCUGUGCAUGAAUGCCAGUCCUUGCAUCUGUCUUGGAACUCACAGAGAGCUCUUUUCCCAUGGCUUUAAGCAAUACUCAAAAAGACUAGCAUACCUGAAUUUCCUAGUCCUAUGUUUUUUUCAUCCAACAGCCAGUCUUGUAUUUCUAGCUGUUUUCUAAACAUUUCAACCAAACCAUUUUACAGAUAACUCAUACAGUCAUCCUUUGAUAUGCAUGGGGAAUUGGUUCCAG
rnacentral:lncRNA from 1 species